rnacentral:lncRNA from 1 species
GCCUGCUCUAUUGCUCUUUGGCACUGAGGGAAGCUCUCUGGGGAGAGGAGCCCACCAAUGCUUGGCUGACAAGAUCUUAGUCAUGUCUGCUGUUCCUUUACCUUUGCUGCCGUCUUCAUAUCACUAAGGGAGCCCUGCGGAGUGGGGUGGAGUUCAAGAUGGACUCUCAAGAAGUUAUAGGAAGCUCUUUAUCAAUUCUAUUCCUGAGAAGGACCCACUUCAGGGAUGUUACAGUGCAGACAAAGAUUCUGGUGCCUCACAAGAUUUGACACAAGCCAGUGCUUUGUUGUUUUUCUCACCUGUUGGCCAGAAGAUUAUCUUGGAGCAGGAAAAGCCAUGUGGAAGAAGCCAAGUGAAGGGCUAUGGGGACCUAGAAGACAGAGUUGUCACACAAUGGAAGAAUUGCAGAUCUCUGAGUCACCAUUUGGACAAGAACCUACUAGGACAGGUGCCUGAACAAGAACACUGGACAUUGUACAGGACCUGGACUAGGUCAGACGAGUGAGGCACUUGCCUCUG